CAGGGCCAUCCUUCUGCUGCUGGAUUUUUCCAGCCGGAGCAUCUUGCUGGCACUGCUGUAAUUUAUGGAAAUUGGUUUCUGACGUGGGGCUUUUUCUGUUACGACAGGGACCUACCAGCUGGAAGAGGCAGAGCUGCAGUCAGGGCAGGAGAAGAGAGGGAGGGGAAGAGGUGGGGAGAGAGGGAAGCUGGGAUACUGAAGAGAACAGAGGUAGAAAAAGACAGAGACACUUUAGAGACAGGUGAGUUACAACUAAGAGAGCAGGGAGAAAGGCAGAGAAAGGGAGAGAAGGAGCGCUGUGGGAAAGGGAAAGGAGCUCGGAGACUGAGUCACCCUCAGGAGGACAAGCAUCAGGAGAUAAGUGCAGGAAACACCCCAUUAUCUCAAGAAGGACCUGUUCUGUUUGAGCCAUCACCAUGAGCACACAGAAGAGCUGCUCUCUGCCACUGGGGCAAGGAGAAAGAGAGGAAAAAGAGAGUGAGGGUACUCCAGUCCUGGAGCCACAGGAGUGUGAGCUGGAGCUGAGGAACAAAGCUAUUCUGCAACAGAAAAGGCGCCUUAAACAGGCCACACAGUUUGUGCACAAGGACUCUGCUGACCUGCUGCCCCUGGACGGUUUGAUGAGGCUUGGUACCUCCAAGGAUCUGCAGCCACAUAGUGUGGUCCAGCGGCGCCUCUUGGAAGGCAAUCUGAACAAGCUGCGGGGCGAGACAAGGGUUCAGUCUGCAUGGGUUCAAUCUCCGCUGGCAAAAGACCAGGAUGAAAAGAUGGAAAAGGGAGAGGACAGGAGAAAAGAAACUCCGCUCCUGCUAAUACAGUGCCAGUGCCAAGGUCAGCUAUUGAAAGCAACUGUUAACACUGGAUGUCAACCAAAUCUCAUCUCCAAGAGCUGUUUAAAACAGCUGGGGCUAGAAGAGGUGUCUGUCAUGGACUGUGGAGAUCUCUCUCUUCCCAUCCCCAGCGUUGUUGGCCGAGUAGAACACGUGGAGGUGCAAUUUGGCCAGGAGACAGUUCUGUGUUCAGCAUUGGUUGUAGGUGAGAGCACCAGCCCCUCCUUUCCCCAGCUUUCCUAUGUCCCUCUCUCCCUGCCAAGGGCAUUUAAAUGGAUCUGUGAGAAAAGGGUAAGGUGGUGGGAAGUUGGUGAUGUGGUCACCUGCACUGUUGACAUAGCUCAUCAUGCACUGUGAAUACCUUCAAUGUAAUCACAGACAAAGAGCAUAGGAAGAGUACAGAGAAGAGCGCCUGAUGCUGAAAGGGGAUAGAAAUGAGGUGCUUUUUUGUUGUAACCCAGGAUGUGGAAAAUUCUCUUUUCCUUUUAAAAUAGACCUCUCUUAAAACUAUCCAGACUGCUUGAUUAGUCCUCUGGAUGCGCUGUGUUCUCCUGUGCCCUUGGCUGGCUGGAUGCCUCCAGAGAAACUGACAGAGGGUACAGCUUAUUCCCUGGAGUGUUUCUCUGUGUACCCAUCUACCUCUGCUGCAGGGAGUGCCCUAGAAGAACAUGGUAGCCCUGGACUGCUGAAUCCCCCAAGAUGUCCUGAGGUGGGACACUUUGGAGGAAGGAGCUGUAGAAGACAAAGCCCAGUAACUAGGCACAGGAGCACACCCAGUGCACAGCAGAAAGACUGCACAUCCUGCAUUUACAUUAAACUCUAUGCAUGUUGAACACAACUUACUGGCCCUUUUUUUCUGUCCUUUCUUCCCAUUGCCUUUAUCUUUCUCAUCUUUGAUGACUACUGUUCACUCUUUUACCUCCAGGGCCUUCCUUGCCCCCUGUCUCUUUCAUGUCCAUUCCUCCUGCUUUCCUGGUCUAGAAAAAGGUUCCUCCUUGUCCACACCCCAGCUCACUCUCCUUCCCUGAUUCCCCCUCUACUUGCUCUUGUCCUUCAUGGGAAGACUGCUUUAGUGCUGGCACAGGUGAAUUUAGCCUGGUAGCACCUAUCCACUGAUAUAGAUAUAGAAAGGGCUGCCUAGAAGGAGCAGAAUUGCCCUAUCUGUGCUCAAUGUGUCUCAGAAUUGGCACACAGCAUUCUUGCUUAUGUGGAGUAAAAUAUAGCCAACACUUACAAGGCCAGCAGGCAUGCAGGAACUGUUAAGGAUGCUACAGGUGCCUGCAGAAUCCUGCAGGCUCCAGGACCUGGGGAUUCCUCCUUCCUGGCCACUGAUGUCCAGCUGAGUGCAAUCUAAGACCCAGGAGGUCUCUCCAUCUCAGUUCAAUGAAUGUGGCUGCUGCUGUUCAAAUUUGCAGGUUUGGCCAGUAGCAAGGUUCAGCAUAUAUUUCUGAGGGGUACAUACAUGGAUGACACUGACAAGGCCAGCCACACAGACUACCACAGACAGAGCAACGCCGUCACCAGGACUCUCAUAAACAUGAACUGCACUCAGAUAAACUUCAAUACAGAUAGCGCAGUCCUGUUCCUCCUCUCCAGCUGAUCAGGAUUGAAGUUCACUAGUGAAAACGCACAUAUGCUCACUCUAGAUUCAUAAGCACACUCACAUUCACAGAUCCCGCGAAACUCAGCCUGACCUCUAGGUCUGUCUAACAUUUGUGUCUGGACACUAGGCCCUUUACCCAGCUGCUGGCUCAGACUGAGUCUUUCCAGAUGUCCUUCUACUCGCCAGCUAGUUCAGCUUGAAGUUUGCUAGCAAAUUACGCAUAUGCACACACACAGUAUUAAAUUCACUGGGGAAAUGUAAAAACACCCAAGUCUUUCCAGUUGCUGGCAUUUACACCUCUCACACAUAACCCUGGUCUCUCCAGUUGCUGACUCAUAAGUUUACGGGCCCUGUGACCCGUGGGCCCUUUUCCAGUUGCUGGUAUCCAGACCUCUCCUGCAUACUGGUCUCUCCAGCUGCUGGCACCUUGACCUACUGCCCUGUGACCCACAGUCCCUUCUACAGCUGCUGACACUUAGACCUACGAGUUAUAUGGCCUGCAGUCUCUCCAGAUACUGGCACAAAAACCUCUCUUGCAUGCCAAUCCCUGCAGUUGCUGGCACAUAGACCUAUUGGCCCUGUUACCCGCAGCAUCAUCUCCAGUAGCUGGCACUUAGGCCUUGCACGCUCUCACAGGAUAGAGAACGAGAUUACUCAGAAAAAAUAGUUAAGAAAAGGAUUUAAAAGGAAGACAGGAUAGACGGCAGUCAUUGGACACAGGACUCAGUCUGACAAGUAAACUCACCAGCAGUCUGCUUACAUGUGACUGGCUCCUUUAGCCCCCCUUUCUGCACUUUCCCAUGUUUGUUCCUCCCUGAUCCACCCUGAUCCAUCCCUUUCCCUGCCUUUGGCCCUUCCCCUAAACAACUCAUAAUAACAACUUUCGUUGUUAUUUGUUAUUUACUUUAUACUGAAUAAUCUUUAAUCAGAUAACUUAAUUAAUCAGAUACUCUCACAUUUCACAUAAUCUUAUAGGAGGGAGACACUUUCUUUAGAGGGGCAGUCAAGGUAUGUAUAGUCUUCAGCCUGACCAGUCUCUUCUCUUUUCCCAGAUGAUGAAAUGCUGGAGUUCUGCAUUGGUCUCCAGACCCUGUUGUCUCUCAAGUGCUGCAUCGACUUGGAGGAAGGAGUCCUGAGAUUUAAAGCGCUG